GGGUUGGGCUGUUCGCCCAUUAAAGCGGUACGCGAGCUGGGUUCAGAACGUCGUGAGACAGUUCGGUCCCUAUCUGUCGCGGGCGUAGGAAAUUUGAGAGGAGCUGUCCUUAGUACGAGAGGACCGGGAUGGACGUACCGCUGGUGUACCAGUUGUUCCGCCAGGAGCACCGCUGGGUAGCCAAGUACGGACGGGAUAAGCGCUGAAAGCAUCUAAGCGUGAAGCCCCCCUCAAGAUGAGAUUUCCCAGUAUGUAAGACCCCUUGAAGACGACGAGGUUGAUAGGUUCGGGGUGGAAGUGCAGUAAUGUACGGAGCUGACGAAUACUAAUCGGUCGAGGGCUUAUCCUA
rnacentral:rRNA from 1 species